rnacentral:lncRNA from 1 species
GGAAAGCUUGUCUUCUUCAUCAACAGGGUCAAGUCAUAUUGACAUGAAGAGGAGGAACAGCAAAGCUAUAGAGGAAGGAUUCAGAAGGACCUUCCAAGCUGAAACUGGAAUUAGCAGACAGAAAGAUGGAAGUAGUACUAGUAAUGUUGAUAAUGAAGAGCAGGAUAUAUUAAAGCAGCAGCUUCCAUGGCUCUCUCAGGUCUUGACCCUCAAUAUGACUUAAGUGUCUUUCUCUCUUCCCUUCAAUUUGGUUUGAAAGCAUGAAGCUUUUAUUAUUAUUCUUCUUCUUGUAUACUUUCUCUGGUUAGUUUCCAGAUGGAAGUGUCUCAGGAAUGAUGUCAGUCUGUUUGUGUAAAAAUGACUAGUUGUUUUCCUCUCACCUUACCUAGCAAUUUAGUCAACGACUCUGUCUCGUUGUAACCUGUCUUUCUAGUUUUUGAAAAUCACCUUGGAAUAUGAGGAACAAGAACAGAAUGGCAUCAUACUUACAGACUGUCAUCUAUUUACAACCCAUUAAAGGAUCUUUUAAUUUCGUGAAGAAUCUAAUGACUAUAUUUUAUGGCUGAAAGAGACGAUAUAAACAAGGGAAAGAAAAAGGUUUAGAUCACCAUAUUCUAAACAAACUAGUCAAUGGAGUAGGACAGACAACUAUAAACACACCUUUUAUUUCAAUAUGGAAAUUCUUUCCCAAACCAUUCUGCAAUUUCCUUUUUUCAGAACAAGACCAGUAGUGGGAAAUCCCCGGUUUUUGUUUUCUGCUUCACCUGAAAAGUGAACCACAAGCAUAAACUGAAGUGAAGAAUCCCAUUUCAAGACAAGAAUACUGUGUACAUUGCCUGCUAAGCAAAAUAGAGAAGAAUCUUACUUACCCCACCCGAGCCUUUCCCCAAAUUCAAGCAAGUUGGUUGGUCGGCCACCGUAUGAGCAAUAGAUUCCCCAUGUCAAUAAUCCAAUGGUCCUGUCCUGAAAACUAAAGAAGAAAGAAAGAAAGAAAGAACAAAAGGGAUAAGGAAGGAGCCUGGUGGUACUAGCCUUUAGAUAAAUAGAUAGAUAGAUAUAUAGUACAUAGAUAGAUAAAUAUAAGAAUAUACAAUCUAUAUCUGACCUCUGCAACCAUUAUUGUUUUCUUUAGUAAGAUGAUAAUCUGAAUCAGACAUCAACUAGGGGCAUGCACCCACUUUGUGCAACCCUGUCCCAUGACCUACUUCCUCUACUUUUCCAAUCCCCCUUUUAUCCAAUAAUAAUUCAUACUCUGACCUCAAAAAUAUCAAAG